rnacentral:rRNA from 1 species
CCUACGGGUGGCAGCAGUGAGGAAUAUUGGUCAAUGGACGCAAGUCUGAACCAGCCAUGCCGCGUGCAGGAAGACGGCUCUAUGAGUUGUAAACUGCUUUUGUACGAGGGUAAACGCAGAUACGCGUAUCUGUCGGAAAGUAUCGUACGAAUAAUGAUCGGCUAACUCCGUGCAAGCCGCCGCGGUAAGACGGAGGAUUCAAGCGUUAUCCGGAUUUAUUGGGUUUAAAGGGUGCGUAGGCGGUCGGAUAAGUUAGAGGUGAAAGCCCGAGGCUCAACUUCGGAAUUGCUUGUGAUACUGUUCGGCUAGAGAGUAGUUGCGGUAGGCGGAAUGUAUGGUGUAGCGGUGAAAUGCUUAGAGAUCAUACAGAACACCGAUUGCGAAGGCAGCUUACCAAGCUACUUCUGACGUUGAGGCACGAAAGCGUGGGGAGCAAACAGGAUUAGAUACCCGGGUAGUC